rnacentral:rRNA from 1 species
AUUGAACGCUGGCGGCAUGCCUUACACAUGCAAGUCGAACGGCAGCACGGGUGCUUGCACCUGGUGGCGAGUGGCGAACGGGUGAGUAAUACAUCGGAACAUGUCCUGUAGUGGGGGAUAGCCCGGCGAAAGCCGGAUUAAUACCGCAUACGAUCUACGGAUGAAAGCGGGGGACCUUCGGGCCUCGCGCUAUAGGGUUGGCCGAUGGCUGAUUAGCUAGUUGGUGGGGUAAAGGCCUACCAAGGCGACGAUCAGUAGCUGGUCUGAGAGGACGACCAGCCACACUGGGACUGAGACACGCCCCAGACUCCUACGGGAGGCAGCAGUGGGGAAUUUUGGACAAUGGGCGAAAGCCUGAUCCAGCAAUGCCGCGUGUGUGAAGAAGGCCUUCGGGUUGUAAAGCACUUUUGUCCGGAAAGAAAUCCUUGGCCCUAAUACGGUCGGGGGAUGACGGUACCGGAAGAAUAAGCACCGGCUAACUACGUG